UUGGGUGGAGGAUUGCGAUGGGUCUGCUGGCGGCGGCGGUUUUGGGUGGAAGAUUGCGAUGGGUCUGCUGGCGGUGGCGUAUGUGUGUGUGGUAGUGAUGGUUAUGACGGCGUUUUUUGGAUGUUGGGUUGGUGGGAGUGUGGCAGAAGAGCAUUAAGGCUUAAUCGACUAUGUUCAGUAGUCGAUUAAGGUUAAUCAACUAUGUUCAGUAGUCGAUUAAGGUUUAAUCGACUAUGUUCAGUAGUCGAUUAAGGUUAACCGACUCUAGUUGUUAUUUUUUUUUUUUUUGAUUUUUUGUUUAUUGAUUUCAAUGUAUAAAUCAAUUACAAUAUUUGUAUAUUUUUUUUAAAUAUAACUGUUUUUUUUGUAAUUGUGAUUUGUUAUUUUUAAUGGUUAAAUUUUUAAUCGACUAUCCAUUAAUAAACCUGAUAGAGAAAAAAAUUAAAAAAAUCAAAAAAAAAUUAAAAACAAAAUUAGAAAUAAAAAAUAUUAAAAAAUAAAGAAUUUUCUUAAUUGACUAUGAAGCAUAGUCGAUUUAAGACUAAUCGACUAUGCGUCAUAGUCGAUUAAAAAAAUGGAAAAAAAAAAUAAAAAUUUCGCGGAGCGCGUGGCCCAAUGAUGAGGUGGCGGGCGGGGGUAAAGCUGGAAACAUAAUGGCUGAAAUUGGAACAUGGGCUUUUCUCAAAUGAUCUAAAAUAUUUUGGGCCUAUCCCCAUUAAAAAAAGUAAUGGGGGUUAUGUCAAAGAGCCCCUACCAUAAAACUAAAUUAUUUCAUGUUUAUUUAAAUCGAUCAAGUCUGGUUCUGACGAUAGGCAAAGUAUGCUUAGGGCUUCCAAUUUAUUUAAUUAAAUUUAUAAUAUAUAGUUAUUGGAAACUCUAGUUCUUAAAUAGAAGACGUUAAAUCAACGAUUGUUACAUAUUUUAAGAAAUUUUCAAAUCGUUGGGGCCUGAUUUGAAUUUAUUUGAAUUCCUAAUAUACAAAUCCAAAUUUUUUAAUUAGUGUUUGAUAGAAAUUUUCAUUGUAAUCUGGAAGAAAAAAAUGAUUUCACUAAUUUUGAUAAGUAAUUUUAAAGUUCACAUGAUACAAUCCUAACAAGCUCAAAGAUGAAGAAUUGGAAGAAGCGCAAGCGUACGAGUUUAAAGAGGCUAUUCAAGUUUUCCUUGGAGAAAAAAGCCUUGAAUCGACUAUUUGAGAUGUCAAUGGUUUGGAAUUGGAAGAAAAGAAAGAGAAGAAUUCGUUGGACAAGUCAAAUUCCAUGUAUUAUUCUGGCAGAGUUUACCAUUCUAGUUAUAAUUCUCGCAUCUAACGUCCAUUUAAACUGAUUCAAAAUGAUUCGAAGAGAUAACUGAAAGAUCUACAACUUUUAUGUUUUGAGCGAAGAGAUAUUCGAAUUGGAACAGUGUCGAAAUUGAGCUUUAAGUGCAUGCCCGUGCACAAUCCAAUGGCUACGCAAGUUUAGAAGGGUGAUCGAAAAGUCGACUUGAAGAUCAAGUUACUUAAUUUAAUUAUGCAUGUUUUUAAUUUAGGAUUUAUUAUGUUUUUAUUAUUUUAGAUUCUUUUAUGGUUAGGAUUUGCUUAUUUAUAAGUUUCCUUAUUAUAUAUUAGGUAGGAGUCCUUGUCCUUGUGAAAAAUGAGUGUUUUUAGAUCUUAUAAAUAUGUUGCCAAUUUAGCUUAUUUUAUUGGACGAAUUUUAAUGAAUAUUUGAGUAUUUUGAGAGAUCAAUUCUCCUUCGCUGUUUUUACAAGUAGAUUCUUGUAAUUUUCUUAGCGCCAUAAUAUUGGUUUCUAGUUCUUUAUAACCACGGGGUCAAUAUUCCAUCUUGAUAAUAAUGGUUUCUAGCUCUUUAUAGCUAUGUGGUCAUUAUUCCUUGCUUCCGCCAAUCUGAAUCCUCGUUUCUUUGGAUGUUUCGAUCUUGCUUCCGCGUAACGUAUUUGGGUCCUGUAACAAGUUCUACGGUCAGUUGGUAUCAGUGCCAACAUCCAAAACAGGUUUUACCUAUCUUUAUUUUUUGUUGUGUCUUCUAGUAUAUCUCAUCUUUUCUUGUGUUGUGUUAUUUAGAGUUUUCGUCAAAAAAAAAUACAAAAAAAAUUCGAAUUUUUAUUUUUUGUUUAGAUUUCUUUCCAGCCAAGUUAGGAUUUGUUCGUGUAAAAAAAAAAGACAAAAAAGUAAAAUAAAUAAAUAAAAAAUAAAAAUCAAAUUCGAUUUUUUUUUUAGUUUUUUGAGUUCUUAGAGUCUAAGUUAGGUUUUGUUAGUGUCAUUAAAAAUAAAAAAGGAAAAAAAAAAUUGCUUUGAUCAUUCCGAGAAGGCCGGUUAUAAAGAAUGAAGAAUUGGGCAGCGUAGGAUGUCGCCAAUGGAUAAACGCUUCUAGGAACUCCAAGAUCAGAUGGAAGGAAUUGUUACCUAAGUUCUACGGUUGGUGAACAUCACGCCGUACGUAUGGCCCUCGAACAUGUUGAUCUCUGCGUAGUUCCUUUAGUUGGGUAACAAUUAGAUAUUUUGGAGAAAAAAUUGUAAAUACCGAAAUUUGCUACGUAAAAUUGACUGAAAAUGGUAAAAUAUAUAGUGGGAAAUGGCUCAAACUCUCUCUCUCUCUCUCUCUCUCUCUCUCUCUCUCUCUCUCUCUCUCUCUCUCUAAAUAUAUAUAUAAAUAUAUAUAUAUAUAUAUAUAUAUAUAUAUAUAUAUAUAUAUAUAUAUAUAUAUAUAUACUUGAGUAGGGGUACUAUCGUCAUAUAUUGGAAAAAAUGUAAGGUGAUGGGGAUUUUUGUAUUUAUGUGUAGUACAUGGGGUAUAUGAUACAAAGUUUAUAGUACAUGGGUGUUUUUGUUUUUAACCCUAAUAAUUAAUAAUAUAUAACACAAUUUCCAAACAAUUAAUACACGCACACCAUUAACGUGUAACAAGACGAUACUAAGAGUCCGUUUGGCUAAGCUUAUUUAAAACAUCUGAUAAGAUGUUUUAGGAGCUGAUAAGCUCUUAGGUCUUAUUUUAAUUUUUUUUAAGGUGUUUGGAUAUGUAGAUUAUAAGUUAAUAUUAGUUCUUAGAAGUUGUUUGGGUAUUUGGAAAUAAAAGGUCAGUUUAUCGCUAUAAUGACAAAAAAGUACAUGACACCAUUAUAACUGUUGAAGUUAUUUGACUCAAAUACUUUUAUUCCUAAAAUAUUAUUAUAAUAUUUAUAAAUUAAUUUGACAUAUAAAAAUAAUAAUAUAAAAUUAAUAUAUUAAUAUAAAAUAAAGGUUGUAAAAUAAAUGUAAUUUUUUUAUAGAUAAAAUAUAUAUAAUUUAUUAUUGAGAUAAUAAGAAUAUUCGUGUGUUUUAUAUACAUAUAAAAUAUAAAUAGAGACCAAUUUUUUCUUACAAUUAUUUCGAUAAUUAUAUUUUAACUAAUUAUUAAUCUUGAUUACAAGAAUACAUUGUUUUGAUAAAAUAUAAAUGUUAUUAGUAUUUGUGUAAUAUAAUAAAGUAUUUGAGGGAAAUUUUAUAUUUUGAGUGUUUUAAUAAAUAAUCAAAUAAGAUCUUAAAGAAAAAAGGUGGGGUGGAUGUACUUUCCUAAAAAUAUCUUAUAAGUUCACUAACAGUUUAUUUUUGGAAAAAAUAAGAUCUUUUCUAAUUUUUUUACCAAACUCUUUUAAAGAGCUUAUAAGCUCUUAAACAUCUUAUAUAUAUAAGACGUUUUUAGGAGCUUAUAAGCUUAGCCAAACAGGCUCUUAUAGAAAUUGAAUUUUUUUUUAUAACUGAUAUUAUAAAUUACAAGCAUUUUUUAGAAUUCAGACCCACGACUACCAAAUAUAGUAACAAAAAAAUAUAAAUGAGACUGAAUUAAAUUGAUUUUUAAUAAAAAAAUAAGUUAUGAUUAAUAAUAUAAUAUAUCUUAUAUAUAAAAGAAAGAAAUGCAAGGACAACAUGAAGAAACCCUAAUUGCAUUUCUUUAAUUUUUUAUUUUUAAUAUUUUUUAUGUACUAAUUUUCUAGCUAUAUAUAAAAGAAAGAAACGCUGGGACAACCCUAAAAAACCCUAAUUGCAUUUCUUUAAUUAUUUAUUUUUAAUAUUUUUUAUGUACUAAUUUUCUAGCUAUAUUUUUCAUAAAUUAUCAAAAUUGACACAGAACAGUAAAGAAUCCCUCCAAUGUCAAUCUUCUAUUUUUUCAUCAAUAUAUCUCAAAUCUUAAGAGAUAAAGAUAGAAAUUCGAUUUGUCAAAUCUUAACCCAAUUUGUUUGGAUUAUAAAUCUUACUGCAUAAAAAAAUGAGUAAACUGCAAAAAAUACCCCUGUGUAAUUUGCAAAUAGCAAAAACCCCCUGUGACAAAUAAACUAGCAAAAACUCUCCUGUGAAAUUUAGUCAAAGGCAAACCCGUAGUAGGUUUUUGGACGUGAAAUGACGAAAUUGUCCCUAAAAUGUAUUUAUAUGUAUAUAUAUUUUCCUUUUAAUUUGAUUUUUUAGAAAUUAAUAUAUUGUUAAAAAAUAAGAAAUAACUAAAUUUAAAAAUUAUUAAAAAUUUGUUAAUCAAAUUAAGUAUAGAUUUUUUUAAAUAUACAAUAACGGAAUUUAAAUAUUUUUUUGAUGUAGCGAUAAUUUAAAAUAUAUACAAAAACUAUGUGAUAAUAAAAAAAAAAUUAAAGACCCCAUUGUACAUUUAAAAUUAAGAUAUAACAAAAAUAAAAUAAUUAAAAUAUUUAAAAAAUAUAAGAAUUUAUUAAUUGCAGAAUACCAGGGGUAUUUGUGUCUUUUUAUAUGAAGUCAACACUCAAAUGAUAAAUGUGCCAAGUGUACUAUUUAGAGAUUACAAAUGAGUACUUUUUGCAGUUUACUCCGUAUAAAAACUAAUGUUAUAUAAACUAGGGUUAAAUACCAAAACACCCCCGUACUAUGGUCUUUGUAUCAUAUACCCCCUGUACUACGCAUAAAUACAAAAACCCCCCUCACAUUACAUUUUUUUCCAAAAUAUGACGAAAAUACCCCUACUCAAGCAAAUAUAUAUAUUAUCAUUUUCAGUCAAUUUUACGUGGAAAUUUUUGGUACUUAUAUUUUUUUAUCUCCAAAACAUCUAAUUCUUAGAAUUUUUUAAUUUUCGGAAUAAAACCUUUUAUUUUUGUCAUUUUGAGUUUCUUCAUUUUUUUUUCUUAAAUUUCUUCUGGUAGUUCAAACAUCCUAAGAUUACAAACAUCUUUACAGUCAUAUUAUUGUUGAGAAUAUGAACUACUGAAAGACAUCAAAGAAAAAAAAAAAGAAAUUCAAAAUGACAAAAAUAAAAGGUUUUGUUCAGAAAAUAACAAAAAUAUCUAAGUAAUUAAAUGUUUUGAAGAAAAAAAUUAAAAUAUCAAAUUUUCCAAGUAAAAUUGAUCAAAAAUGUCAAAAAAUAUAGUGGAAAAUGGAUCAAACAAACCUUUUAUUUAUAGGCAUAGUAGGGGUAUUUUCGUCAGAUUUUGAAAAAAAUAUAACAACAUGGGGGUUUUCGUAUUUAUGUGUAGUACAUGGGGGUAAAUGAUACAAAGUCUAUAGUACAGGGGUGUUUUGUAUUUAACCCUAUAAAAUAUGAAUAGUACUACUUUCUUAAAUUUUACUAUGAUAGUGUAUUAUAUUUAUUUUAUUAUGUAUUAAAUUGAUCAUUUUUUUCACUUUUAAAAUACGAUCCCCGGGAAAAAAAUUGCUAGUUAGUAAAUAAUUGAAUAGUAAUAUAACGAGGGUUUAUUGUAUUUACCGUUGUUCAAAUGAUAUAUGUAAUUUUGGAUAAUGAAAGCCCAAGGAUAGGAUAUCCAAGGAUUUAUGUAUUUUCACUUUUGGGAUAAUGAAAGCACAAGGAUAGGAUAUCCAACCCCAAGCACAAAAGCCUUGACCAAUUGCACUGAGCUCAACCCAAUAAAAUGUUGACAAAUAGGUAUGAGAAUUUGACCUGCUCUGAUGGAUCCUCGUCUCACUUUGAUUUGAAAUAGCGGGUACUAUUAGACUUAAAAAAAUGUGGGGCACGGGGUGGGCUUGAUAUUGUUGUAGAAUAAAUUAUAUAAUAUAAGAACUGCACUAUUAUAAUAUAUGGGAAGGGAAUAGUGAAUGACCGAGAAAUCUGCUAUUGAAAUGUAAAAUGGAAUUACAGAAUAUAAAUACGAGAGGUGAGAGAUUUCUUUUCUAAUCAAAGUUAUGUAUUCAAUUAGGAAAAAUGGCCCUAUUUAUACAAAAAUGGGAAAAGCCUUGUCAUGCUAAACUAUUAACACGUAGCAGACUUGCACUCCAAGUAGUAGCAAGCCUUAUCAAACAAUUACUAGAUAUAUAUUACAAAACUUAGUCACUAAGUAAUUAAAUAAUUAUUACAAUACUCCCCCUUGACUAAGUAUGUUGUUGUCGCGUCGGCUGUAAAAUUGGAUGAGUGAAAUAUAUGUAUGCCUCGUUAAAAACCUCAAGCCGGAAAACCCUGUGGGACAAAACCGGUCAGAAGGGAAAAAGAGUGCAUAACUCAAUCCAAGCCACGUGCAUAAGCUGUCUCGUUAAAAACCUUUGCUGGAAAACCCAAUGGGACCAAAACCAGUCAUAAGGGAAAAAGAGUGCAGCGCACCAUUGCUCCCCCUGAAAUGAGCAGUAUAUAUAGCUUCCGAAAUGGGCCGUCAACCUUGCUUCAUAUUGGUUCUUCUCAUUCCAACGGCGUAUACCAACUUCUCAAAAGUAGAAGUCGGUAAGGACUUUGUAAAUAAAUCAGCAAGAUUGUCGCAUGAGCGAACUUGUCGAACAUCGAUCUCUCCAUUCUUCUGAAGCUCAUGUGUGUGGAAGAACUUUGGUGAUAUAUGUUUGGUCCUAUCACCUUUUAUGUAUCCGCCCCUUGUUUGCGCUAUACAAGCAGCAUUGUCUUCGUAAAUGACUGUGGGCGUGUCUGUAACUGGAUGUAAUUGGCAGGAAUUUCGUAUAUGGGAAAUAACGGAUCGUAGCCAAACACAUUCUCUCCCUGCUUCAUAAAGGGCUAUUAUUUCUGAAUGAUUUGAGGAGGUGGCCACCAAUGUCUGUUUGGUAGAUCGCCAAGAUAUACCUGCACCAUUAUAACAAAACAAAUACCCAGUUUGUGAGCGAGCUUUAUGGGGAUCAGAUCUAUAUCCCGCAUCGGCAUAACCAAUUAACCCUUGGUUAGUUGCAUUCUUUGAAUAAAAUAAUCCCAAAUCUGCAGUACCACGGAGAUAUCUAAAAAUAUGUUUAACACCAUUCCAGUGUCUCCGGGUAGGCUCAGAACUGUAUCGCGCAAGCACAUUUACCGCAAAAGCGAUAUCAGGUCGAGUGCAUUGUGCUAAAUACAUUAACGCUCCGAUAGCAUUUAGAUACGGCACUUCAGGGCCAAGUAUUUCUUCAUUAAAUUCCUUAGGUCGGAACGGAUCCUUUUCAGGAUCUAAAUUGCGCACAACCAUAGGGGUGCUCAAUGAAUUGGAAUUUUCCAUAUUAAACUUUCUGAGCACUCGUUUAGUAUAUGCAGAUUGGUGUAUAAGUAUGCCGUUAUUUUUAUGCUCAAGCUCAAUACCAAGACAGAGUUUGGUUUUUCCAAGGUCCUUGACCUCAAACUCUUUCUUUAAAUAUUCAGCAGCAUUGGCCAACUCUUCAGGAGUGCCAAUGAGGUUCAUGUCAUCUACAUAAACCGCAAUAAUAGCAAAUCCGGUUUCUCAUCUUUUAAUAAAAACGCAUGGGCAAAUAGGAUCAUUUUUAUAACCUUCCCUGAUAAGGUAUUCACUCAAUCUAUGAUACCACAUGCGACCGGAUUGCUUUAGACCAUACAAUGAUCUCUGUAAUUUGAUUGAGUGCAGCUCACGAGGAGCGCCAGAGUUUGGCAUUUUAAAUCCAUCGGGAAUUUUCAUAUAAAUAUCAGAAUCUAGGGAACCAUAUAGAUAGGCCGUUACAACGUCCAUUAGACGCAGGUCCAGUCCCUCUUGGACGACCAUAUUGAUAAGAAAACGGAAAGUGAUCGUAUCCAUCACUGGUGAAUACGUCUCAUCAUAAUCAAUCCUAGGCCGCUGGGAGAAACCUUGAGCUACAAGGCGGGCUUUAUAUCUUACAAUUUCAUUGUUCUCGUUCCUCUUACGGACAAAUACCCAUUUAUACCCAACGGGCUUUACAUUAUCCAGAGUUUGAACGAUUUGCCCAAAUACUUUCCGUUUUUCUAGGGAAGCCAAUUCACAUUUUAUUGCUUCCUCCCAUUUAGGCCAAUCAUUUCUUUGGCGGCAUUCCAUUAUGGAACGCGGUUCACUAUCAUAAUCAUCGUACAUUAUUUCUUGUGCAACCGAGAAUGCAAAAAUAUUAUCGAUGAUUAUCUCAUUUCUAUCCCAUAUUUCAUUGCAAAAACUUAUGGGAUUCUCGGUAUUCCCGGGAUUUGAUAUCGCUUUUUUCUAUAUCAGGCUCAACAGAUUCAUUUGGAGCAUUCUCACUAGGAACCACUUGGUUCGAAGGUUCAUCAAUUUUCCCCUUUCUUUUUCUAGGAACAACGUCCUUUGAUCCAAUUGGUCUACCUCGUUUUUGUCGUGGGGGAUCAUCAUUCAUUUUCACAUGUUCUUCAGGAACAGCGAUCCUAGCUGGAACAUUCACAGCUGGAAUAUAAGACUUCGUAACUUUACUGACAUCAUUAAAUGCAUCAGGAAUUCUAUUGGCAAUAUUUUGUAAAUGAAUGAUUCUAUGGAUCUCAUUUUCACAUUCAGAGGUACGUGGGUCGAGAUGAGAUAAAUGUUGCUCACACCAAGUGAGAUUCUCGAUUGGUUUUUGUUUAUCAUUAUCACGGAUAUUCUGAAUAUCCUUACCAAUCGGUAUAAAUAAUGUCUCAUCAAAAUGACAAUCCGCAAAUCUAGCGGUAAAUAAAUCACCUGUCAUUGGUUCCAAGAACCUAAUAAUCGACGGUGAAUCAAACCCAACGUAUAUGCCAAGUCGGCGUUGGGGACCCAUUUUAGUCCUCUGAGAAGGAGGAAUUGGCACAUGCACAGCGCAACCAAAUGUGCGAAGGUGCGAAAUAUCGGGCUCAAAGCCUAAUGCCAAUUGCAUUGGGGAAUGCAUAUGAUAAGCAGUUGGGCGUAAUUUAAUCAGUGCUGAUGCAUGCAAUACUGCAUGGCCCCAUGCUGCACUAGUGAGUUUAGAUCUCAUCAGCAAAGUACGAGCAAUUAUUUGGACGCGUUUAAUCAAAGAUUCCGCCAGUCCAUUUUGAGUGUGAACGUACGCUACUGGGUGCUCGACAUUUAUUCCCAGUGCUGCACAAUACUCAUCAAAAGUUUUUGAUGUAAAUUCUACGGCAUUAUCCAUCCUUAUAUUUUUGAUGGGAUAAUCAGGGAAAUGUGCUCGGAGUUUAAUAAUUUGUGCUAGCAAACGCGCAAAUGCAACAUUUCGCGUAGAUAAUAAGCAUACGUGGGACCAUCUACAAGAUGCGUCCACCAAAACCAUAAAAUAUCUAAAUGGCCCACUUGCAGGGUGUAUUGGUCCACAAAUAUCACCAUGAAUACGUUGUAAAAACGAUGGUGAUUCAUAACCGACCUUUUCAAUGGAAGGUUUUAUAAUGAGCUUUCCUUGUGAACAUGAUUCACAGAAAUAUUCAUUGGACAUCAAGAUUUUUGUAUCUUUUAAUGGAUGUCCUUUAGUAUGUUGUGCAAUCCUACGCAUCAUAGUCGUUCCUGGGUGACCCAGUCGAUCAUGCCAUAACCCGUGUAUAUCAGGAUUAACAAGUUUCCAUGGCAUAGUGGCGUAGGAUUCGAAAGCUCGAAUUUGGACACAAUACAGUCCAGAAGCUGUCGCUUCGAACUUCUCAUGAACAAUUCUUUUGUCCAUGACAUAUGAUGUGACGCAUAGACACUCCACAGUAUUUUCAACCAGUGUCUCUAAAUGAUACCCAUUGCGUCUCACAUCUUUAAAACUCAGUAGAUUCUUGUUCGAUCUACCGGAUAUCAGUGCAUUUUCAAUAUGCAAAGUGGUACCAUUAGGCAACACAAUUGUUGCGUUCCCGGAGCCAUCUAUUAUUUCCGCGGAACCUGCUAUGGUUUUAACUUGUGCCUUGCACAAAGUCACACUCGAGAAAUAUAUUUUAUUAUUGAAUAUUGAGUGUGUAGUUGCACUAUCGAGUAGGCAAUAAUCAUAUUUGUCCAUAUUUUUCAUGUACGUGUAUCAAAAUCAGCUCGACCUCGGGUAUUUAUCCUCCAAGGGAGAUAUGUACAUGUGGGUUUAUUCAAAACAACUCAAUCUUGGGAAUCACACCUUCCAAGAGAGAUUUAUAUAUAGUGGGUACAAAAUAACCCAAAACCGUUUCAAUUUGGACUUGUGAUCAAUAGCCUCUAAGUUGGCUCUUGACGGGUUUUACCUCGUCUAAUGACUCUACGAGCUUCAGGCUCGGAGUUGUUUUCAGAUAUUUGGCCUUUAAAUCGGCUUUUGACGGAUAUUAUCACGUCUUGACUCAACGAGCUUCAGGCUCAGAGUUUAUAUCUUGUGAUUUAGCCUCUAAAUCGGCUUUCUUUUCUCAACGAGCUUAGACUCGGAUCGAUAUUAAAGAUUUAGCCUUUAAAUCGGCUUUCUUUUCUCAACGAGCUCAGACUCGGAGUUAUAUUAACGAUUUAGCCUCUAAAUCGGCUUUCUUGGCUCAACGAGUUUAGACUCGGAGCUAAAUUUCAUUUACUUGACGGAAAUUCCAACGUCUUGACUCAACGAGUUUUUCUGCUCGGAGUUAUAAUAAGACCUCAAUACGGUCUAUGUUAAGCUCUACGGGUACUAUGCCCAGAGUUAAAACGAUAGCCUCUAAAUCAGCUUUAAACGGAGAUUAUUAUUUCUCCAACUCCACGAGCAUCAGGCUCGGAGUUUAUAUCUUGGCCUCUAAGUCGGCCCACAGAUCUGUUGAUAUAUAGCACGUUCUUAUAACACUGCUUGGGAUCCACAAGCUUGCAAAUAUAAAUUUCAGCAGUAAUUCAACAAAUAAAUAAGCAAUAGAUUAAUAUACACGAAUCCAUCAUAUCCUUUGAGAAAUGAUAGCGUAUAAAAUACCGAAGUAUUCGCUAAUCGUUCUCGUUUGUCUUUUCGACAAUAGAUUGAGGAUCUGGAUUUUCGUAAAAUAAAAUAGAAAGAAGAAUACGAAAAUAGCAAAUCCCUAUCGAGCAAAAUCUCGUGCUGAUAACGUGUUGUAGAAUAAAUUAUAUAAUAUAAGAACUGCACUAUUAUAAUAUAGGGGUCAUUAGCAAUACACCCCUCAUUUAGAUAAAAACUAGUGAUAUGUCCAUACCAUAAUUCUUUCUUUGUGAAAACCCCCUAUAAUAUUUAUUUCCAAUCUUACCCCUCUAGUAGUGUAUCACGUUUUUUUUUUAUAAUUAUCCAAGUAAUUUCGAAAUCCCUAUUAAUGAGGCACCUAAUCCCACUACUUAGGCUUAAUUAUAUAUUUUUCCUAAUUUAUCUCAAUUAUUCCUUUUUUCUCUCUUUCCAUAACAAUUUAAUUCCCAAAAAUUUGCUUCCAAAUUCCUAAAAAAUUGCUACGAAAUCAAAAAAAUAAAAUAAUCGGAUUUUAUUAUUUUUAUUUUUUAUUUUAAUAUUAUUUUGGGACUUUAUUUAGUCAUUUUAAAUUUAUUUUUAAUUUUAAUAUUUUUUAAUAAAAAUAUUAUUUUAAAUUUUUAAAACUUUUUUUAAACAAAAAAUCGAAAAUUUUCUCUCAACAGGUUUGCAACGCCGAAUAUGACUAUGGUUGAAUAUGACUAUAUGUGACUAUAAACUGUAGUCAUAUUCUUUCGUUAUAUUGUUGUUUUUUAUAUUUUGAACUUAAAAGUUCCGAUUAUAUGGCAUAGUCAUGUUAACCAAAUCAUAUAAGUAACCAAAUCAUAUAAAACAACGAAGAUUCCCUAUUAUUUACGAAAACAACUCAAUCAACAUCCACACAAAAAAUCACAAUUUGAAUCUUGUGAUUAUAAGUCAACUUGAAAACGAGAAGAUAGAACAUAUUCAACAAUAGUCGUAUUCGAAUAUGACUACACUCAUAUUCGAAAAAAACAUAAAUAUGACUAUAGUCAUAUUCGAAUAUCACUAUAGUCAUGUUACUACUGCUGUUCAGAUUUGGAAAAAAAAAAUCGAAAAACAUAAAUAAAGAUAGAAAAAUAACGAGAGAGAGGGACAGGAGUCGACGAGGUCUUCAUCCCCAAAAUCACCCUGGCAUAUCUUCACCCCAAACGACCCUCCAUACUUCAACACAAUCAUCAAGGUUGACGACAUGAUGUGCAACACUACAAAAAAACAUGAGAAUGUGACUAUUGUGUGAAUAAUUCUGCUGAAUGAAUCUGCACUAUUCUGUAAAUGCAAUUCACAUAAUAUUACGUGAAUUCAGUUCAGCCACAACAAACACAUUGAAACUUACACUAACAUAUCAAGUAACAAAAAUAAAAAAAAAAUAAAAAAUUACAAUUCGAAUAACUACAUACAUAAAUACGAGUAUAGUCAUAUUCGAAUAUGACUAUAGUCAUGUUGCAGCAACUGCAUUCUCAUGCUCAAACUGCAUCUUUUCAAAAAACAAAUUGACUGAUUAACAACAAUUCGAAUAUCAAAAUCAAACACAAAUGAUCCUUACAAAUUUUAAAUGGAAAAUCUCUAAAAGUGAAGACAAAAAAUUUGAGAAUGUGACUACUAUGUGACUACGUCUGAUGAAUAAAUCUGCACUACUCUGUAAAUGCAAAUCACAUAAUAUUAUCUGAAUUCAAUUCGAUCACAACAAACACAUUGAAACUUACACUAACAUAUCAAGUAACGCAAAAAACAAAUUACAAUAAAUUACACUAGCAUAUCCAUUAACACAAAACGAACAAUUAAUUUACAGAGUAGUCACAACGUGACUCUGUGUAAAACGGAAUAAAAUUUUGAAUCAGUAACAAUCGUUUACACCAAUUAAGACGACCCAAAAAUAAACAAUAAAAUUCGGUUCUACAUACACACAUAUCUGAAUACACACUACAGCCCAACCCCCUUUACGAAAACCAACAAAAAUAAAGCAGCAUCUCUAACCUUCAAACGCAGUUUCCCAUUUACGAAAACCAACAAAAAUAAAUCAGAAUCUCUAACCUUCAAACGCAGUCUAACUCCGGCAACGAACAAAGAAUGGUUGAACGCCGAUGAAAUCUCUAUUCUCUCCUAAACUCGGCUGAACUCACGUAAUUAUAUCAAAGAGAAUCACGUCCGCCUAUAAUAAAGGGAAACGGUUAUAGAAAGAUAUCGUGAUUAAAUAUUUGAUUUAUUAUAAAAAACUAUUAAUAAGGGUACGUAUGUCUUAUUAUGUUUAAUUGAGGGGGUUUCACUAAUUAAGUUUGGGAUGUGGGUUUGUGCAAAAGUCUUAAAAGUCAAUUGGGUUUUACUCAUAAUAUUUUUCAUUUGAGGGGGGUAUUGCAUAUUUCCCCUAUAAUAUAUGGGAAGGGAAUAGUGAAUGACCGAGAAAUCUGCUAUUGAAAUGUAAAAUGGAAUUACAGAAUAUAAAUACGAGAGGUGAGAGAUUUCUUUUCUAAUCAAAGUUAUGUAUUCAAUUAGGCAAAAUGGCCCUAUUUAUACAAAAAUGGGAAAAGCCUUGUCAUGCUAAACUAUUAACACGUAGCAGACUUGCACUCCAAGUAGUAGCAAGCCUUAUCAAACAAUUACUAGAUAUAUAUUACAAAACUUAGUCACUAAGUAAUUAAAUAAUUAUUACAAUAAAUAUUACAUUUUAACCGGGUACAAGAAUAGGGAGGGUUUGUAUGUUCCGCCCCGCAAUAUAUAUAUAUAUAUAUAUAUAUAUAUAUAUAUAUAUAUAUAUAUAUAUAUAUAUAUAUAUAUAUAUAUAUAUAUAUAUAUUAAUUAGUUAUAAUUUUAAAAGAUAAAUAAUAAAAUAUUACUAACCCUAGCCCCUUAAAGUCUAUAUUUUUUUUUUAUUUAUGUUUAUAUUAAAUUUAAUUUGUACAUGAAAUUCACUUUAUUUUUGUUGUUGUAGGCUCGUCUUCACUAAUCGUAAUUGAUAAAGUGAUUUUUGAUGGUUAAGAUGAUAAUGGUCAUGAAAAUGAUGAUGGUGAUGAAGAUAUUUUGGUUGAUUAUUAGAAAUAAAGUAGUUUAGUUUUUCAAUUAGUUAUGUUAAAAUGUGAUGUGUAUUUUAGUUCAAAGAUGUUUAAUUUGUAGUGAUAAAUUAUAUGAGAUUUGAAGUAAAAUAUGCACUUUGUAGGUUUGUUUGUUGAGGUAAGUCAUUAUAUUAUAAGUAGCUUCGUUCAGAAUUUAGAAAAAAUAAAAAUGAAGAUUGCAUUUUUCGACUAAAAAGGAAAAUCGGGGAUUGUGUGGGGUGAUACCUGGGGGGAUUUUGCGGGGCGGGUUCGAGGAUACCCAACUCAUAAAAUCUGUGGAUUUUGACGGGACGAGGAUGAGAGAUUUCAAAGCGGGACGGGAUGAGGUUUACGAAACACGCUUCAUACCCAUCCAAUUGCCGUCCAUAUUGAUAAAUUUAAGGAGCCAAAUGAAUGUAUUUUCAGGGGAAUCACAUAAUAAGCCCAUGACCAUACGCAUAGAGCCCGUCUAGUCGCUAUUUAAGCUUAUUUUGAAUAUUUAAUAAGCUCUUACAUGUGAUAAAAUAUUUAAGAGCUGACGAGUUGUUAUAUCUAAUUUCUUAAAAGGAUUAUUUUGGAGACUCCUUCACAUUGAAAAUAUGUAUAACAAACCACCAUAGUGUUUACAUCCUAAUGCAAACCCCCUCCAUUUGAAUAAUAAUUUGGCAUACCGCCUCAAUAGAUUUGAAGUACCCAGAAUACCUUUUUAAAUCAGUUUUAAACCCUACCCAACUCAUAUCGGUCUCUAUCUUCCUCUCUUAACUCCCAGAUCCAAAUCCCCCCCCUCCCAAGGUCUCUAACCAGCGAUGUUGCUUCCCGAAGUCAUAACUCUCUCUCCGGUGGUCGGAAUUCAAUGAUUAACUACCCUUGAAUUCAUCUCACCGAGCUCUUUCUUUUGAUGGUGAUUUCAUUCAGUUUGGAGCGGUGAAUCAGUUUCUGAAUUUUUUUUUAGUCUAUGCGUAUUUCAACGACAGUGGGUCUUGUCGGAGGUGUAAUUGUGUUUCGCCAGUCGGAAUUUGACGGGCAACUCACCGUUGGAUUCCUCUCGCCGAGAUCUAUAUUUUGAUGGUAAUUUCUUUCAUUUUAAUACUGUCAGAUUCAUUUCUAUAAAUUUUUUCAUCUGUGAGCGCGGAACCUUCGGUGGUUAGCAGCGGCUAGGGUUUUGGUAGGAGGCAUUUGGGGGGAGGAGCAAGGUUGUAAAAAGCGGUAAUCGGGUCGGAGGCGGUUAGGGACCAACUCACGAUUAAUCGGUGCGGCGGUGAUUAAUCGGUGAUAAAUCGGAAAUAAAUUAGUUUUUAAAAUUUAAUAUAAUAUAUUUCUAGAUAUUAUUUCUAAAUACUCAAAACAUAGAUAAAAAUAUAUUUAAACAUAGUUAUAUCUCCAUCAUGUAUAUAUUCUAAUAAAAUAAUGGGGCUUUAAGAUAUAGGUCCCUGGUGACAAAACUUAUUAGAACUAAAUGACAAGUCAAACUAAACAUUUACUUCACAUCCUUUAUAAAUUUCAUCCAAAAAAUGCCCCUCAUACAUAAAAAAUAAAAUUUACACCAAGUAAUAUCUAAACUUUAUUUAUCAUUUUUAUUAUUUAUUUAAUAUUUUAUGUUUCGCAUCUAACAUUUUUGUUAUUAUUUUUUUUCGUAGAACAUGUUUUUUUUUCUGCAUUUUCGUAUUUUUCACAAUUAUAAUAAUAUAUUUUUUUCCUUUUUUUUUCUACAUAAUAUUGAAAAUUAUGAUGAAAUUUUUUUCGGCCAUAAUCAUCUACAUAAAAUCGUAAGAAAGCUGUAGUAGACAGUAGUCACGUAUAGACACCCAUAGAAAACUGUAGUAAUCCGUAGUCACGACAUCUGUAGACAUAAAAUCGAAAAAUUUUAGAUCUGCCCCACCAAACCAUAAAUACCCUCCACCAAACCCUAGAUCCACUAUGCCAACGUCACCCACACCGCUAAAAAUGCCACAAACCCAACCCACGCUGCCGUUGCCAUCCCCAACCCCCAACAUUGUUACGCCACCGGCACCAUCCACAAGUGCCGGCGCCCAACGAGUGUCGUCCUCAUGCCCAAGACGCGUCACCACCGACGCCUCCCCUCUAGAGCAGCCGUCGCUCGCCACCCCCCACAUGACGCCGCCGCCUUACAUUACUUUUUUUCAAAAAGGAAAAUAUUUAGUGAACACUGGUGUUUAUGGAUCAGAUCAAAAUUCUAGAUUCCUGUAAUCGGAUUACGGAUUACUGUAAUCUCAAUCAAUGCCCAACCAUAUAUAUAUUCGGUGUGUAUAUAUACAACAACUAAGGUGUGGAGAUUAUUUCAGAAAAUAUAACAACAAUCCGAUUAAAUAGAAAAUCAUGAAGAACUUGAAGAUUUUUCUGAUUACGCUGAUUUUAGCCCUAAUUUUCGGAUUUGGCUCUUACAAUUCGGAUGCCAGGUCUCUGCCACCAUCUCCCUUCAAACCAUGGAGUGGAGUGGUGAAGAGAGAGCUUGAGAUUGAGAGAAAUAACGAGAGAGAUGGAGAGAGCCAGAGAGCGAGACAGAGAAAGAGAAGAAUAAAAGAGAAAAAAAUAGAUCUGGGAAAUAAAUGUGAUUAUGUGGUUAUAAGUUUUAGGGUUAAGGGCAAGAUAGGGAUUAAAAAAAUUAAGGAUGUUGGUCAUAUAUUAUUUCAAACUAAGGAUUUAAUUAAAAAAAUGAAUUUAGAGUUGUUAUUUAGUUCAAAUUAGGUUUCAAACUAGGGGCUCCCUAAAAUAAUAAAAGUUUAAUAAUAAUAAGAUUAUAAUAUAUAAAUAUCCUUAUAAAAUAUAAAUAAAAAGACAUUUUUUUUUAAUUUACAUUUAUUCUUGAACAUUCCUAGUAUACAUCAUUAGUUCUUUAACAAUAACAGUUAACAUAAACAAAAUAAAACAUAAACUCAUAGUUUGUUUUAUAUAAUCCCAACUUUUAUUUUCAAUUAAAAACAAAAAAAAAAAACCCGGUUUUUGACCUAUUUUUGCCACCGAAGUUUGACACGCCAUAAAGGUUUUACCGCCUCAGACCGCCUCGAACCGCCUAAAAUCGUCUAAAACCGCCUCACAGGCAAAAAACGGAUUUUUCAAACCUUUACACUAAAAUCGUAAAGGUUUUUUACCGCCUCCGCCUCGGAGACCGAUUAAUCGGCCGCCUCGGCCGAUUUAGACACUGGCGAAGAGUCAUUGGCGGUUUGGUCUAAAAUUCGCUGCAUUUCGCAGCUAUAACCCCCCCUCUCUCUCUCUCUCUCUCUCUCUCUCUCUCUCUCUCUCUCUCUCUCUCUCUCUCUCUCUCUCUCUCUCUAUAUAUAUAUAUAUAUAUAUAUAUAUAUAUAUAUAUAUAUAUAUAUAUAUAUAUAUAUAUAUUAUAUAUAUAUAUAUAUAUAUAUAUAUAUAUAUAUAUAUGUAUAUCACUCGAUCUCUUAGUGUUUGUUGAUUUUUGAGUGUUUUGAUGUUUCUUCAUUUUUUGUUGAUUUGCACUAAAAUAUUUUUUUUUAUUUUGAUUUUGUAGUUGCAGCUUAAUGAAAGACAUCGAUCCUCUCAUUGAAGGUGUCAAAAUUUUUGGUUGAAGUUACAUAUGCUUCAAGUUAUAGUGUUCAACAGGCUGUAUACAUUAUGUAUACAUUACUGUACAUUACUAUACAUUACUAGUUAGAUAUAGUAACAUGUAGUUACAUACGCAUAAAUUCGUGUAUUUUCGAUUUGUAUUUUAUUGGUUGUGAGGUAAUUUAUAAUAAAAAUAUUAAAAUUUGUAAAUUUUUGUUGUUACGGUUUAUGAACUUCUUUUGUAUAAGCCAGUAUUCGUGUGUGUUUAUAAUUGAUCGACUAAAAAUAUGGGGUUAAAAUAAGAACAUAACUAUGAAUUACUAUAGUUUACUACAUCUAUAUGUAGUUACAUGAAGUUAUUUUCAGUAUAGUAAACAUAUUGAUUUUAAAAAAAUUAAAAAAUGAAAAAAAAUAAUAAAUUUUUUUUUUUUUAAUAAAAAGUAAUAAAAAAAAUAUAUAUAAAUUAAUUAAAAAGGUUUAAAAAAAUAAAAAUAAUAAUAAAUAAAUCAACGAAAAUGAUAAAUGCAGGACCAGAAAUGUUGAAUGUAGUUUGACCAAAAAUUGCUUAUAAGGAUAGUAUAGUACUUUCGCCUCUCAGGGGUAUGUCAAAUGAUGAUUUUGGCUUGGGUUUAUCCCUAGUGUAUUUGGUACCAAGGAGUGUAUAUAAAAUAUGGCAAUUUACAAAUAAACCCAUCAAUGUGUACUUAUUCAUAAAGCGAUUCAUACAAUAAACUCUUUUACAAAAAAGUCCACACAUGGUCUAGAUUUUUGUAAAAGACUAAAAUAGCCUCUCAUACUUUAAUAUCCUCCAAUUUCAUCCUUUAAUUUAAUCUAACCUCAAUCUGACCUCAAAUUUCACAAAUUAUUGAAUUUUGACCCACAACACAUUUUUAUGGGCAAUUUCGUCCGUCGCCGCCAUUGACCGCCGUUCUCCGGCGUUGACCUUUUUUUUCCUUCCUGAUUUUUCCGCCACCGGUUUCCGGCGUUGACUUUUUCGAUUUUUUUCUCUUUCUUUCUGUAACAUCUUUUUUUUCUUUCAUGUUUAAACAGUAAUAUUGUUGUGAUUGACAGUAAUAUUAAUUAUAUUACUGUUAAACACAGUAAAAUUAACUAUAUUACAGUUUAACACAUCAAUAUUGCUAUAUUAAUCUCUAGCACAAUAAUAUUAACAUAACAAAACUCAUUAUUAUUGUGUAAUAGAGUAAUAUUACAAUGUUGACCAUUCAACAAAUGUAAACAUAAUAAACAACCAAAAGAAUUAAUAUUAUUGUGAGACAGUAAUAUUACUAUGGCAACAGUAAUAUUAAGGUCAACCACAAUAAUAUUAUUACGUUAGUGCGUGAAUAACUCUAACAAAACAAAAAAACGAAACAAAAUAAUAAUAAUAUGGAUGUGGUUGAUAGUAAUAUUACCUAUAACAAUAGUAAUAUUACCGUUAACCACAAUAAUAUUAUUGUGUUUACAGUAAUAUUACAAUAAUAAACAGAAAUAUUAUUACAUUACUCUGUGAAUAAGUCAAACAAAACAAAAAAAACCCAAAAAAAAUAAUAAUGUUGUGUGGUUGACAAUAAUAUUAUUGUGUUUACAAUUAUUUUCCCGUCAACCACAGUACUAUAAUUACGUUGACUUGACAACAAAUCAAACAAAAUUAAAAAAAAUAACAAAAAAAAAUAAUAAUCAUAUUACGUUAAUUUACCGUCAACGGCAGUACGAUUACAUAAAGGUAUUGUCAAUAGCAGUACAAUUACGUUAAUGUACUGUCAGUGACAGUAUAAUUACGUUAAUUUACUAUCAGUGAUAAUUUACUGUCAGUGGCAGUAUAAUUACGUUAAUGACAGCACAAUUACGGUCAACGUUUAGCAGCGGACGUUAAAAAAAAAAUUGAUUUGUUUAGCGGCGGACGUUAAUUUUUUUUUUUUUUUUUGAAAAAGAAAAUGUCAAAAUUGAAUUUUUGUGGUCAAAAUUGAUUAAAUUGGGAUUACAAUUAGGAAUUAGGUAUAAAGGGUUGGGGGUAAUUUUGUCAUAUACAUGAAUUUCUCCUUUAUUUAUAAUAAAUAUUAAAGGGAUUGACUUAUUGGUGAAAUAAAUAUAGCCCAUAAACCUAGAAUAAUAAAGAUGCUUGAUUAGAAACUUAUGCACAAAAACACCUAUAAAAUAAGCCCUUUUUUAAAUUAAUUUAUGAGGUGUUUGGGUGUGUAUAUUAUAACUUACUUUUAGUAUUUGGAAAUAUAACUUCCUUUUAUCUUAGUAAUGAUAAAACAGUACAUAACAUUAUUUUAACUUUUUUGAACAUAUUUAUUUCGUUAUAAUUGUUUAGCUUAUAAUUUUACUCUAAUAUUUUUUUUUCUAAAAUAUUAUUUUAAUAUCUAUAAAUUACAUUAGUUUCAAUUAAGAAAAAUGAUUAUUUUGUAGAAUCCCCUCAUUUCCAAAUUAUAUAGAACUAACUACCAAGUGGAUUACAUUCUAGGGGAAAUCUCCCUCAUUUCGAAAAUAUUUUGACAUACCCCCUGGGCCACCCAGAAGUCCCUAUAAUACCCUUUUAAAAUAAAUUUUAAACCCUAGCCACUCAUAUUUUGGUCUCUCUCUUCCCCCAGAUUCAAAAUCUCGCCUCCACAAACGUGCGUGGUUAUUAGCGGUGCCUAGGGUUUUGGUAUGAGGCGAAGGGGGUGAGGAGUCACUGUCUGUUUGAUGUAAAUAUGUAGCAUUUCCCAGCAAUAACCUCUCUUUCUAUCUGUCGAUCUGUUAGUGUUUGUUGAUUUUCGAGUGUUUUUGAUGUUUCUUCAAAUUUUGUUGAUUUGCACUAAAGUAAUUUUGUUUUUAAUUUUGCAAUCGCAGCUUAAUGAAAGCCAUUGAUCCUCUCCUUGAACGUGUCAAAAAUUUGGUUGAAGUUACAUGUGAAGCAGUGUUUAACAAACUGUAUACAUUACUAUACAUUACUAUACAUAUAGCAACAUGUAGUUACAUAUGCAUAUAUUUGUGUAUUUUCGAUUUGUAUUUUAUUGGUUUUGAGGUGAUUUAUAAUAAAAAUAUUGAAAUUUGUAAAUUUUGUUGGGGUUUAUGAACUUCUUUUGUAUAAGCCAGUAUUCGUGUGAGUACUAUUGAUCGACUAAAAAUAUCGGGAAAAAAAAACGAACAUAACUACGAAUUACUAUAGGUACUAUAGGUACAUGUAGUUAUUUUCAGUAUAGUAAACAUAUUGUUUUGAAAAUUAAAAAUAAAUUAAAAAAUUAAAUAAAAAAUUAAUUUUUUUUUAUUUUUUAAAAAAAUUAAAAAAUUAAAAUAAAUCAAAAAAUAAAUAAAUAUAUAUAUAAAUUUAACAAACAUGUUUAUUAUUAUUUUAAAAAAAGAAAAAAAAAAGAAAAUAAUAAUAAAUAAAUCAGAGAAAAUGCUAAAUGCAGGACCAUAAAUACUGAAUGCAGUUUGGCCGAAAAUUGCAUAUAAGGGUUGUAUAGUACUUCCGCUUCUCUAGGGAUAGUUUAUUUAGUGGCUAGGAGGUAUGUAAAAUAACCCCUUAAGAAAAAUCAUAUAAAGUUCUAAUAAACUAAUAAUGAUUUCACUAACGUUCAUAUGAUAUUUGAUUUGUUUUUAUAUAAAUUUAAUUGUAAUAAAAUAUUUUAAAGAAGCAGGUUUACGAAAGUUCCAAUUUCUUUUACCUCAUUAACAUAUUAAUGUAGGAAAACAAUUUUAUUUUUGUCAAUAAAUAUAAUUAUUAUUCAGAUAAUAAGAAUGUUUUAUAUAAAUAUAUAUAGGGCAAAUGGCAACUAGGCCCAUGACAAGUGCACUUAAUUAAAAGAGGCACAUUCAAUUUUUUUGUCUUUCAAAUAAAUUCAGCUUAUUCAAACUUAUUUACAAAUAAGGAAAAUCCUUUUAUAUAUACCAAAAUUAUCCUCAAUUCAUUGAAACUCAAUUCAACUCCAAUUUCACGAUUUAAACCCCAAUUUAUGCUAAUUUCAUCAAUUAACCAAUUUUAGCCCUAAUUUCAAUUUUAACCCCAAUUUUGACCCGUCACCACCGGAGAGCGCCGGUCAGCCGCCGUUGACUGCCGGAGAUCGCCGGUCUCCGACGUUGACUUAUUUAUUUUGUUUUGAAAACCUUUUUUUUUGAAAUUUUUUUUUCCGGUAGGUCAACCGUCAUUGACCGCCGGGUCUCCGGCGUUGACUUUUUUUUUUUUUUUUAUAAUUUUGUUUUUUCUUAAAAAAAAUAUUUUAAUUAAUAUUACUGUCUUGGCUACUAAAUUAAUGUCUCCAACAGUUAUUUAACUGUCAUAGACAGUAAUUUAACUGUUAAUUGAAUUUUUUUUUCUUCAAAAAUAUUUUAUACUGUCUUGGCUGCUAAAUUACUGUCUCCAGCACUUAUUUAACUGUCGGAGACACUAACUUAACUGUUAAUUGACUUUUUUUUCCUUCAAAAAUAUUUUAAUUAAUAUUACUGUCUUGGCUGCUAAAUUACUGUCUCCGACAGUUAUUUAACUGUCGAAGACAGUAAUUUAACUGUUAAUUGACUUUUUUUUUUCUUAAAAAAAAUAUUUUAUCUGCCUUUGCUGCUAAAUUACUCUCUCCAGCAGUAAUUUAACUGUCUUAGACAGUAAUAUUAAUAAUAUUAUUGUUCGAGAAAAUAAUAUUCAUAAUAUUACUGUCCCAAACAGUAAUAUUAAUGUCUAAGACAGUAAUUUAGUAGCCAAGAAUGUAAUAUUAAUUAAAAUAUUUUUCUAAGAAAAAAAAAAUUCGGGAAAAAAAGUCAACGCCGGAGACCGGCGGGCAACAGUGGUUGACUGGCCGGAAAAAAAAUUUAGAAAAAAAAGUUUUCAAAAAAAAAAGAAGAACUUUUAAAUCCAGGGUCAACGCUGGAAUCUGGUCGAAAAAAAAAAUUCAGAAAAAAAAUUAUUUUCUGUAAAAAAGAAGAACUUUUAAAAAAUUAUUAUUUUGGGGGUUAAUGUGAUAUAUUUGUUUAAAUCCAUGGUCAAUGUGUAAUAUUAAGGAAGUUAGAACAUAAUGAAUGGAAUUGAUAAGAAUUAUAUUAUGGAGUGUAUUUUAGACUAAAGAUAUGGGGAUGAGAUUAUUUGAGAGACUAUUGUUUUUGUGUACUACAAGAAAAAUGAAUUUUAGUGACAACGCAUGUUGUCACAUUAGAUCAUUAAAUUGUCACAAAUGAAAUUUAGUGUCAAUAUAAUGUUGUCACUACGUUGUCACUAAUUCUGUGUCGCUAAUGCUUAUUGGUGAUAACUUACAAAAUAUUGUCACUUUAGAUUUUAGUUAAAAUGACAACAUUCAUGUUGUCACUUAAGCAAGAAGAGUGACAACUUGAAUGUUGUCACUAAUAAAAUGAACCUAGAGUGACAACUUCAAUGUUGUCACUAAUAAAAUAAAUCUAGAGUGACUCAUUCACUACAUUUUGUGAAGUAUAUUUGUACACAUUUAUGUUUGCCCUGAACACCAAAGAAUAAAAGAAAUCCAAUAUUAUAAAUAUAGAGACACUAUUUCAAUCAAAAUCUCCUCUACAAAUCAAGACAUAUAACAACAAAUAACAAAAAUAACAUUUACCAAAUAUUUUUUCCUGACAAUACGAUUUGUCGAAAGAAAGUCAUACAUUGUAAACUAGUCUGGUCAGUCGUAAACCUAACUAUAAUCAGACAAGAACUCCGUAAAAUGCAGCAACAAUACAAUCAAUAGCAUUUCUUUCUCUUCCAUGUUUCUUUUUAUCAAUUGAACCUGCUAUUUGCAAAUUAUAUAUUUACGCUCAAAUAUAUAAUAAAUGUAUUGUUUAAAGAAGAUUAAUUAAUAGAUCUCUCAUUUCAAUUAAUUAAUUUUUUGAUAAAAUAUAAUUAAGUACUUGUAAUUUUUUUUUUCUAUCAAAGUACUCAAACCUCAUUUUUUUUUUCGCCUUUAAGAAUGAGUUCGAUUAAGAAAGUAUCAUCAAUGACAAUAGUAUGUUAUCACUAAAAAAAAUAUGGUUUUGGUGACAAUAAAUAACUUGUCACUAAAGAAAAGUGGUCAUUGGUGACAAGUUAUAUUUUAUCACUAAAGAGAAGUUAUCAUUAAUGACAACUUAUAUGUUGUCAAUAAAAGAAAGUAUUAUUAGUGAUAAUAAGCAUGUUGUCAUUAAAGAUAAAUAACUAUUAGUGAUAAAAAUGUAUAUUUUGUCACUUAAUAUAGUUGUCUAAUGAUGAAAUUCAUCUUGUCACAUACUUUGUUGUCAGAAAUUAAUAUUUUUCUUGUAGUGGUGGACCAAUGUGCAUUUAAAUCUCAUGUAAUGGGCAUUUUUGCCAUUCGCCCUAAAAUAUAAUUACGGAGUAAUUUAUGUUAUAAUUAUUAUGAAAAUCCUUGUGAUUGUGUUUUAAAUAAUUACUAAUCUUGACUCAAAUUAUAUUCAUGUAAUAUAAUAAAAUAUUUGACAUAGUGUAUUUCAUUCAAAUUCGUACGUUUGACUCUAGUUUUGAAACUACUUGCCUUAAUAUAUAGGUGCAGAAGGAAUUGAUGGAUAAUCAAAAUUAGAGAUCAGAUAUUAUUACGCUAAUUUAUUGGAAGAAAUUCAUGAAUGGAAACAAAUAAAAUAAUAUUUUAGGGUUUGACUCGGAAACUUUAUUGGAGUAAUUGUCUUGUAAUCUCGUCCAAAUUAGAAAAUAUACAAUAUUUCCACAAUCUUCAAAUUCUUCUCACCAUCAACGUAUACAUAUACAUAUUUAUCUAUAUAUAUAUAGAUGCAUAUUCAAGAAUCAUUCCAUCAAAAUAUGAGUUUCAUCACUACUUCAUUUCUAGUUCUCAUCUGCAUACUACUCAAUUUUCAUCAAUUUCUCAAAGCAGAAAAGCUCGAUGUAUACAUCGUCCACGUCGAUCCUUCACAUUCCGACGAUCUCGACACGUUUUACGAUUCAUUCUUGCCGACGAUUACCAAUGUAGCUGCCGGCUCAACCAAUAGUACUACCGACCGGCCGAGAAUAUUGCACCGCUACCGCCAUGUGUUUUCCGGUUUCGCCGCCAAAUUAUCCGCAGCCGAUGUCGAAGCAAUGCGGCUUAAGAAGGGUUUCGUCUCGGCCCGGCCCGAAAGGGUGUUGCGUCUGCUCACCACGCGUUCUCCCAGUUUCUUGGGGUUGAACCAAAACACGGGCUUAUGGAAAAAGUCGAACUACGGCAAGGGCAUCAUCAUCGGCAUGGUGGAUAUCGGAGUCGAGCCCAGCCACCCGUCCUUCGGUGACGCGGGGAUGCCGCCGCCGCCUGCGAAAUGGAAGGGCGAAUGUCAGUUCCGCGCCGGCAAGGGGGCAUGCAACAACAAGCUGAUCGGAGCUAGAUUCCUCGUCCCUGAAAUUUCGCCACUGACCAACAAUUUAGGCCACGGCACACACACCUCCGGCACCGCCGCCGGAAACUUCGUCGCGGGCGCCGCAUUCUUCGGCAACGCCAACGGCACCGCCUCCGGAGUCGCGCCCCUAGCUCACCUGGCAGUGUACCAAGUGUGCAACGACAGCGGCUGCCCGGAUAGUGCCAUCGCCGCCGCCAUCGAUGCCGCCAUCGACGACGGCGUCGACAUACUCUCGAUUUCCCUCGGAGGGCAGGAUCACCCCCGCUUCGCCGACGAUGUUCUCGCGGUCGGCGCUUACAGGGCCAUGGAGAGGGGUAUUAUCGUCAGCGCGGCCGCCGGUAAUGCCGGCUCGUCCAGUAGUGUGACUAACGAGGCCCCGUGGUUUAUGACAGUCGGAGCCAGCACCACCGACCGGAGAAUAACCGUCACCGCGGUUCUCGGAAACGGCGAGCAAAUAGACGGAGAAACCGGCAAGGGUUUCCCCUCUAUCGAAAAGUUAGAACUUGUUUACCCUGGAGCUUGUUUUGGCCAGUUGGACCCCAAUAUUAGAGGAAAGAUAGUUGUGUGCGACAAUUUUCUAGUCGACGGAAUCGUGUCCGGAAAAGCGGUAAAAGCUUAUGGUGGGGCCGCUGUGAUUAUAUUAAACUCCAUAAAUCAAGGUGAAACCAUUUUCGAGACACCGAACGUUCUCCCAGCAAUGCAAGUCAGCUAUGUAGAUGGCCGCAAGAUAAUUGACUAUUCGGUUUCGACUCCAAAUGCCACGGCCGCAUUGCUGUUUAAAGGAGAUGUUAUAGGUAACAAUCAGGCUCCAGUUGUGGGUCAGUUUUCCUCAAGGGGUCCUAGUCAGGCCACUCCAGGUAUUUUGAAGCCGGAUAUUAUUGGUCCUGGAAUUAACAUUCUUGCAGCCUGGCCCAUUUCUGUCGAGAAUCAAACCAACACAAAGUCCACAUGGAACAUAAUCUCGGGUACGUCAAUGUCGUGCCCUCAUCUCAGUGGGGUCGCAGCAUUGCUCAAAAGCGCGCAUCCUGAUUGGUCGCCUGCGGCCAUCAAGUCAGCAAUCAUGACCACUGCGGAUCAAGUGAACAUCAAAGGCAAUCCUAUCGAGGACGAAAAGUUGCAUGCCGCCGAUGUCUUUGCUAUUGGUUCGGGCCAUGUUAACCCUACGCGGGCAAAUGAUCCGGGCUUGGUUUACGAUAUCUCGCCAGACGACUAUAUCCCUUACUUGUGUGGCUUGAACUACACGAACCAGGAAGUCGGCAUCAUUGUUGGGCGUAAGGUUGAUUGCGCGAAAGCUAACAGCUUUACCGAGGAUCGAUUGAAUUAUCCCUCGUUUUCGAUUGUACUAAAGGGAUCGACUAAUCAAAUUUAUACGGCUACGAGAACAUUAACAAACGUCGGUAAGCCAAAUUCAUCGUAUCGCGUUGAGAUUGGUUCGGCGGCUGACGGUGUUAUCGUGAAUGUGGAUCCCGAGGAACUCUUCUUUCAAAAUUUGGGCGAUAAACUGAGCUACCGUGUAAUCGUAAGCAGAAGUACCAGCACAAAGGUGACGAAUACUAUUACUCAAACUCAAAGUCAAGGAUUUAUUACGUGGACUUCUGCCGACUACUCUGUUAGAAGUCCCAUAGCAUUUGUAUUUUAAUUUCCAUUAUUUUUAAUUAUUAUUUUUUCGGAGAUGGAUGACAUUUUUCUUAAUAAAAAUCAAUAAGGAGUUCAACUUUUAUCUACUUUCUUUUUUUUUUUUUUUUUUUUUUUUUGAAUUGUUGAUACUCAGUCUUAACUCCAUACAAUAAGGGCUCUUUUGGUUUGGGUGCUUGGGCUGGAUGGGACAUUAAAUCUCACUUAAUAUGCAGUUUGGUUUGACUGUUGGGUCACCUCUUGAUAAAUGGUCCCAUGCUUUUUAUCAUCAAUUUGGUUGAUAAAUAGUCAGCCCAAAACCGGGUGGAUUAUCUAUCAUCUGCAUAUCCCGUUUUUCUUCUCGAUGUAAAAUUACGAGUGAGCCCCUCUUAAUUGUAACAAUUACCAAGAUAUCUUAUAUAAAUAGUUAAUUUCUCUCCCUCUCUCUCUCUCUCCAUUACAACAAAACCCUCGUCAAAAGCGGAAAACAAAAAAAAAUCGUUCCUCUUCUCUUAUGUGUAAAAGACACUUCGUCUUCUUCACCAUUAUCCCAAUUGAAGCACAAAAUUUUUGUUUCUGAGUUUUUUAGUUAAUUUAUGUAAUGUAUUUUUUUAUGCAAGGAAAACGACGAUCUGAAGACAUUAGGGCAAGUCUCCUUCGCUGUGUACGGCUUGGGAGGUAUUUGUUCGUCCUCGUUGUUUAAAAACAGCUUAUAACUUGUUAGAUUUGUGGUUCUUCAUCUAUAACUAGUUUCGGUAUAAUUUGUAAUCUUUUAGUUUAUGGUAAGAUGUGAGACGCCGUUGUAAGGAUUCUAACGAACCGAACACCCAAUUUGAGAUAAGGUUUGCUGUUAGAUAAAUCUAUUUGUUGUUGUUUGUCUUUUAAUUUUUUUUACUUUACCUUUGUUAAUGUGAAAUUUGUGUUAUAAUUGCGCUCGAUUCUUUCAAAUACAAAGGGGAUUUGAAUUAUUUUAGUUGGUCCUUUCUUUUUAUUAACCUGUUAAUUUUUGGUUCUUGUUCAAUAUGUGAUUUCUGAUUUGGUAUGUUGGUUCUGCAUUCGGUUCACAGUCGUAUAGCAUUUGUUAUGUACAUUAUUUUAGUUAUAUAUUGAAAUGUCAGGUUAUGGUUUAUGUCUCAUGUUCUGAAAAACAUGUGCAAUAUGUUUACUUGUUAAUGUCUUUUAAUUAUGCAAUUCAUAUUCAAAUAAUAAAAAAAAAAUUGGUGUGUUUGAUUUUGAACAUAUUUUAUAUAUUAAGUGCAUGUAAUUGAUAUGAUGAUACAUACAUAGAUGUGUGCAAGACAAAUUACGUUUGUUGUUGAAAAUGUAUACCAGUACGCAUUGGAGUCAAAAUUUUGAAAUAGCUUAAAUAUCUAGUUGUGUUUAUUGUAUUUGUCCAUAUAAAUUUCGUCUGCUUAAUGGUAGUGCGAAGUGAUUUUUUUUCCGGGGGUAAUGUCCUAUUAUUAGAAGAAAUGAGUUCCUUUUUUUUAAUUCUUUUUGCCAUUUUGUUACUGCAAAAUCAAAGUGUAUUUGUGCAUGUAUUAUUGUGGUUAAUUCUUCCAAAUCAUAUUCUUCUUUUCGUAGACAAUGGAUUGUUGAGAUUUCCAAUUUAUUUUAUUAACUUAAAGAUUUGUGUGGAACUUUGAUGAUUGCGAGAAGCAAACUCAGUUUACAUGUACAUAUUCAAUUGAAAUACAUAUAUGUAGUUGGUUAAACAGGUCGAUAGCAACCACAAAUUGAUUUGCCAAUAACUUGAUUAGUUAUCUGUUUAAUGGCAGUGUGAAGACCUCUUAAUUCUUUAGUUUGGUGGUCUAUGCAUUUACUUAAUAGUUUAUGGGUUUGAUGUACAUGUUUGUAGGAGACAAAACAAUAAAAGUGUUUUGUGGUGAAUUAAGUUUCGCUUUACGAAGAAUGCCGAUGGGCGAUUGAAGAGAAAGCCCUGUUGGUUAACUUCCGGGAGCUUAGAGGCUUAAAUACUAAGAAUUCUUUGCAAAUAGGUGAUGAUGAGGCUUAAAUACUAAGAAUUCUUUGCAAAUAGGUGAUGAUGAUGAUGAUGAUGAUGAUGAUCGUGAUAAUGUGACGUGGGCGAACAACAGACCACGAAAAAAUUUGACAACUCCGGAUUAUUGCAUCGUUUGAACUAUCUUCAUCGUCAAUUUCCAAAUAUUAUUGUCGAUAAUGUCAACAAUGGCAAUGCCAACGCCAAUGCUAGCGGCAAUGCGGAUGUUGAUGAUGAAGACAAAAGUAGUAAUGUUCGAGAGAUGUUCCAGUGUCCGAUGGAUCCAUUAUUUUGGAUUGGAGUGUUUAGAUGAAUUGUUACAUAUGUUUGUAGACUUCGUUAAUGUUUACGACUUGUACGUCGUCUUGAAAAUGCUAGGUAACGCCUUUGGGUAAGGGUUUCAUGAUUUUUGUUUUUUCGUAAUUUAAUUGUUAAGACGAUAUAUUUAUGACAAUUGUUAUUGUGUGCGUACAUGAAUAUGUCAAAACUUAAAAUGGCUGGCUCGGAUUUUGCAAAAUGAGGUUUUCAAUUGUUUUAUUCAAGAGAUGAUAAAUGGUUGAGUUGUUAAAAAAAAUUAAGAAGAGGAUGGUGGUGGUGAUAGGUGAAUUUAAGGGUAUUAUGGGCAUUUCACCUGUAAUCCCAUCUAAUGAAGUGAACAAAAUAAAAGAUUGUUAAUUAUUUGACUAUUAAUAUUUAAGUCAUCCCACAAACCAAAACAGGUAAUUAGUCUCACUCAGAGUCAUAUCAAUCCCAAUAUUAAUUGUCCCAUCCCAGCCUAUCCAUCCAAACCAUCGAACCAAAAAGGCCCUAAAGGGAUAAUUAGCAAGACCCCCAUCAUCUAGGUAAAUGAGUUAAGAAAACCCCCUCCCAAAAAUAAUUAGAGAAAACCCCCUUACCUAAUAUUCUACUUAAAUAUUAUUUAAUAAUUCUCAAACCACCCUUAUUACUCCUAAUUAUAACCCAUGCCGUUACAGACCCAGCCCCGACCUCCAACCCCUGCCGCCGUUGACGAAGCAACCUCCCCCACCGCCGCCGAUCAUAAACUCGACGCCGCCGAUGUCGUCUUCCGACGACGAGAGCCACGAUACAAAUUUCUACACUCCACAAGGCUCGUCUCUGAGCAACGGGUAUGCUACCGGCGGCGAUUUUGGGUGGAAGAUUGCGAUGGGUCUGCUACCGGCGGUGUAUGUGUGCGCGGAUGGUGAUGGUAAUGAUGGUUGUGGCGGCGAUUUUAAGUGGAGGAUUGCGAUGGCUCUGUCGGUGGCGGUGGUUUUGGGUGGAUGAUUGCGAUGGGUCUGCUGGCGGCGGCGGUUUUGGGUGGAAGAUUGCGAUGGGUCUGCUGACGGUGGCGUAUUUGUGUGUGGUAGUGAUGGUUAUGGCGGCGUUUUUUGGAUGUUGGGUUGGUGGGAGCUUGGCAGAAGAGCAUUAAGGCUUAAUCGACUAUGUUCAGUAGUCGAUUAAGGUUAACCGACUCUAGU
rnacentral:lncRNA from 1 species